rnacentral:rRNA from 1 species
UACGGAGGGUGCAAGCGUUAAUCGGAAUUACUGGGCGUAAAGCGCACGCAGGUGGCUGAGUCAGUCGAUUGUGAAAGCCCUGGGCUUAACCUGGGAAUUGCAGUCGAUACUACUCAGCUAGAGUAUGGGAGAGGGUAGUGGAAUUCCCGGUGUAGCGGUGAAAUGCGUAGAUAUCGGGAGGAACAUCAGUGGCGAAGGCGGCUACCUGGCCCAAUACUGACGCUCAGGUGCGACAGCGUGGGGAGCAAACAGG